rnacentral:rRNA from 1 species
CCUACCUCAGAGUGGGGGAUAACAUUCCGAAAGGAGUGCUAAUACCGCAUGACAUCCUUCGUUUAGAUGCGAGGUGAUCAAAGCCGGGGAUCGCAAGACCUGGCGCUUGGAGAGGGGCCCGCGUCCGAUUAGCUAGUUGGUGAGGUAACGGCUCACCAAGGCUCCGAUCGGUAUCCGGCCUGAGAGGGCGGACGGACACACUGGGACUGAGACACGGCCCAG